ACGAACGCUGGCGGCGUGCCUAAUCCAUGCAAGUCGAGCGAAGUUUUUCUGGUGCUUGCACCGGAAAAACUUAGCGGCGAACGGGUGAGUAACACGUAAAGAACCUGCCUCAUAGACUGGGACAACUAUUGGAAACGAUAGCUAAUACCGGAUAAUAGCAUUAACUGCAUGGUUGAUGUUUAAAAGUUGGUUUUGCUAACACUAUGAGAUGGCUUUGCGGUGCAUUAGCUAGUUGGUGGGGUAAAGGCCUACCAAGGCGACGAUGCAUAGCCGACCUGAGAGGGUGAUCGGCCACACUGGGACUGAGACACGGCCCAGACUCCUACGGGAGGCAGCAGUAGGGAAUCUUCCGCAAAGGGCGAAAGCCUGACGGAGCAACGCCGCGUGAGUGAAGAAGGAUUUCGGUUCGUAAAGCUCUGUUGUUAGGGAAGAAUGAUUGUGUAGUAACUAUACACAGUAGAGACGGUACCUAACCAGAAAGCCACGGCUAACUACGUG
rnacentral:rRNA from 1 species